rnacentral:tRNA from 10 species
AAAAUUUUACAAGGUUUUCACUUAGUUUUGCUAAAAUGUCCAUCUCUUCAUCUUGUUUCAAUUGUGAGUCAAUUGUGUGGCAUGGGUACAAUUAUGCUCUCUUCAUAUGCAGAAUUAAUGUCAUUUUUUUUACUAUAGAUAUUUUCCAUUUUUCACCUGAGACCACAGGCCAAUUUCAAAAAGAAUAUUUACUUCUAAUUAUGUAGCUUCUAUUACAUAGCUAGUAUUGUCUUUGUUUACUUCAUGUAUAUGCCAAAAAGACCUCAUGACUUAUGAAACGUUCAACUGUUUACUUAAAUUGGCCCAAUAAAUUUAAUAAACUCAAUUAUGUCAAUUUUAUAAAGUAAAAUGAACAGUAACUAAACAAAAACUGGAUUCAAUAGCAUUCUCUAAUUGAAACAAAAUAUAAAAUACACUAAAUAACAUACAAUACACGCACUGUGAAAUUACUCACGUGAAAAUUAUUUUGUGAACACCAUUAAAUUUUAUCAAAGUCACUUUCAUAAUCUCUGAGGUGAUUAUACAAAGAAUGUUUUAUGAAAAGAAAAUUAUGUCUAUGGUGAGCAACAGGCAAACAGACAAACAACAAAAAAAGAAUUUGCACAAGAUGAUUCUAAGCCAGGAGCAAUAACAUUUUAGAUAAAUGAAUUUAAUACACAGCAGAGAAAAUAGAUUUGCUUUCAAAAUCUCUGAAGUUUCUGGUUUGCUGGUAAGUGAUCAACACUUGUAAAAUUAUCUGUUCAUUCUAAUAUUUUUCUUUUCUUCUCAAAGUAGGUACACAACCAUAAACAAAUAUGAUUACUUUCUCUAUAAAUCUGUUACACCUGAAGUUUAUUUUACAGUGAUAUAUCUAUAUAUUUAAAUCCAUGUAAACCAAAACUAAAGGUCUGUAUGUGUUUAGCAGACCAGAGAAGUCAUAUGUUCAACAGAAAAAAGUAGGAUAAAAUUUUAUAAAUAGUUGUUCAGAAUUCAGAAACAUAUAGCUCCAAUUAUACUCAUAAUCUUCAUUACAACCAUCAUAAUAAUCUGUAGUUACAAGUAAACAAAAAUGUAAGUUGUAGAAACCAUAUUCUCUAAAUUAUUUUAAGUUAAAGACCACUGACAAAGGGAUCACUAGAGAUGUUAGUCCACUGUCACCCAAUAGUAUAUUGUUACCUACAACCUUGGGUAAGAUGGGAUAAGUUAACAUCAGUGGCAAGAUACACAUUCAAUGUAAAAUAGCCUUAACACAAUAACAAUAAUUUUGGUUUAUUAAAACAAAUUAAGUUCACACAUUGUCAUUAAAAAGGCAUUUUGAAAUUCACUGUAUUUUAAUUACCUUAAUUUGCAAAUGGUAAGGCAAUUUCCUUCUAAAAUUCAAAUUGUUUCUCUUACUAAGCAGAUUAUUAUCCUGAUCACUUACCACACUCCUAUCAUCCUGUCACUUACGAUACUGCUGUAAACUAAUAAGUGGCCUUUCCACUUAGAAUUUCUUCGUGUGUCUUAGGUUUCAGUUUACUUAAUCCUCCAUGGAAAAGUAUAUAAAUCUGUCCAUCUAAUAUAGAAGAACCUCUCACAACUCUGGUGCAACCACUGACCAUGUUCUUUCACAUAAAUUCUAGAAAUGAAGACACAGCAUCAAAUGUAAGAGUUAAAUUAUAUUGAAAUUUGCUUUUGAAAAAUAUUGAAUCCUUUUAAUAUAAAAAAGUAGGUUCCCUUUAGAGAAAAGUGAUCGAGAUUGCUGACUAGAAGCAGCUAGACUGUGCAGUUCUCAUAGACAGGAAUGCAAGGUAUACAUAAAUACAGCACCUGCAACUGAAACAUCCAGGUACUUGCAUUGGGAAUAAUCAAAGAAACAAUCUAUGGAGAAUGGAGUAAAGCAAGGCAGGACAAUGGGCCACCUGGGAACAACAUGGAGCCAAGGGAACCUCCCCACCCAGUAAAGCAGUGAGUGCAUGUGUGACCCUAGAAACCCAUGAUUCUCCCACAGAUCUCUGCAACCUUCAGGUGAGGAGAUACCCUCAUGAACCCACUUCACCAAGGCCUUCAGUUUAACACACAGAGCUACAUGGAGUCUCAGCAGAUAAGCCACUUAGGCCUGCGCAGAUUCAAGAGCCUUAGAUACUGGCUUUCCAGGCUUCCCAGAAAAAGUAGCUGCAACUCGAGCAAAGCAGGUUACACCCCUGAACAUACCCAUAGGAAAGAGGCAGAAUCCAGGGGGCUGAUAGUGAUGGUCUGUAGGACCCACUUCAACAAUGCCUCACGUGGUAAGACCUACUGGCUUAGAUUCCAGCCAACCAUUGGUAGCAGCACUGCACCUCCCUGGGAUGGAGCUACCAGAAAGAGGAGUGGGCCACCAUCUUUGCUGCUUGAGCAACUUAGCCAUUCCAGCCUUCAGGCUUUGAAGAGCCCAAGCUGACCGGGGGGCGGAAAGGAUCUCCUAGCACAGUACAGGUGCUUUUGGGCUGGCAACAGGUCUAUACCUCCCUGGGAUGGCGCUCCCAGAGAAAAGGGCAUGCUGCCAUUGUUGCUGUUUUGCAGCAUUCAGUGGUGAUAACUUCCAGUACUGGAAAAUCUGAGGUGACUAGAAACUGUAGUGGACACCCAGCAUACUGCAGCAGCCCUUCAGAAGUGGUCGGACUGUUACGUGAGUGCCUGUUCUCAUAUAUUCUCACGAGGCAGGUUCUCCAGGCCCGGGCCACUAGCCAAUCAUUGCCAGAGCUAUUGAGCCAGUAGCAGCUUAGCAACUCCCUGGACAGAGCCUCCAGGGGCCUCUGCAGUACAACUGUCCUUGCUACCCUCAGACUAAUAAAAAAUCCCAAACCCUAAGUGCCUUAUUCACACCUCAAACUGCAGUUUACCCAAGGAGAGGAAGCCAGCCCAUCCUCCAUGGGUCCCACAAACUACCCACUGCUCCUCAGCAGACAGUAAACCCCUAACUUGGCCAAAAGUAAAGAUCUUCCAUCCUGGGCUGGCUGCACUGAGUAAUUGCUGACCUACAUCUCUCUGAGAUGCAGCCCCCAGAAGACAAGCAAAGAGAUAAUGCAGCAAGCCAGCUCAUGUGGUGGCCAGAGGGUUUGGUGCAAGAGCAUCUGUAGUAAAGUGUGGCCAGUGAUGGCCAUUUCUCUAGGCUCAACUGUCUCCCAUAAGAGACUUUAGCCCUACGGGAACUGUUGGGCCUAAUUUCUGCAGGAUGGUCUUGCAAAUCAGAAGAAGCUGGUCCAACUGAGCACUCCUUGGUCUGCUGGCCUCUCCCAGGGACCCAGUCUGGCCACAGCUGCUUACAGGGCAGUCUCAGGUACCCUGGAAGCUCAUACCAGAGCAUCUGCACUGGAGGGACAUGCCUGACUCAUGAAGAGCUCCAGCAAAGCAGCCCCUAUGACUGCACCAGCCCACAUUUCUUCCCCAUACUGCAGCUUCCCGUGACACCAUGGCAACUCCUGAUAUUUCUUUGCUGGCACAUGUCUGCAAAGGCAGGUUUGGCUUUGCUUGCCCCACCAGCAAAUGGGAAUGCAAUAUGCCCCGCCACCCCCAGCAACUGCCAUUGUAGAUGAAACUUUGGUGGGCAGAGAGCCAGAAAACUCCACCCCUGCCUUUGUGCUAACACUGUGCAGAGAACAGGGUAACCUCCCACACUCUGAACAAUCACUCUUUCUUGGGGGGCACAGAGAAGGCAUCAAAACCUUUACUGGCCAGUAUCCUGCCCCAAGCCAACACCACCUUUAGUGCAACAGCACACAGCCUCCAGCAGGUAUCCCCCACUCCCUUCCCAGCUGCUUUGCUCCUGCCACUGAGGUGAGUACCCAAAGACAGGCAGAAAUCCCAUAUCCACUAGCACUCUGCUCCAGCUAUGGCACCUUCAUCCCACAAACUCGCAAACUCCAAAUCUCAAGGAGCCAGAGAACACAGUUGGGGCUCAAAACAAGUCCCCCGGAGUUAGAGUAUGCAGCCUCUGAGUUGUGAGCUGAGCAUUGCCCACCCACCACCACCACCAAACAAAACAAAACAAAACAAAACAAAACAAAAAAAACCUCCCAGGAACAAAGCCUGUUGGCUGCAUCCAUCUUAUACCACAAUCAAAUACUCAAGACCAUCAAAUAGGAUUAAAAAAAAAAAAGCCCAAAGGUCAGCAACCUCAAAGAUAUGCCCACAAAGAUAAGACACAAUCAGUGCAAAGAUAAAAACACAAAAAGCCAGAGUGACUUCUUUCAUCCAAAUGACCAAAUUACAUUUCCAGCAAGGCCUAAGAUGACAGAAGUAGAAUUCAGAAUAUGGGUAGAAACAAACUUCACUGAGUUACAAAAGUAAUUUGCAACCCAAUGCAAGGGAGGAAAAAAAAUUGCAGGAACUGACGGAAAAAACAGCCAGUCUGGAGAAAAAAUGUGGCCAACCUGAUAGAACUGAAAAACACAAUACAAAACCUUUAUAAUGUAAUCACAUAUAUUAACAGCAGAAUAGGCCAAGCAGAGGAAAGAAUCUCAGGGCCUCAAGACUGGCUUUCUGAAAUCAGACAGACAAGAACAGUGAAAAAAGAAUAAAGAGGAAUGAACAAAACCUCUAAGAAAUAUGGGAUUAUGUAAAGAAACCAAAUCUAUGAUGCAAGAGAUUGCCUGAAAGUGAUGGGGAGAAUGAAAACAACUUGAAAUACGUAUUUCAGGAUAACAUCCAUGAGAACUUCCCCAACCUAGAGAGGCCAACAUUCAAAUGCAGGAAAUGUGGAGAACCCCAGUAAGAUACCCCAGGAGAAGGUCAUCCUCAAGACACAUAAUCAUGAGAUUCUCCAGGGUCAAAAUGAAAGAAAAAAUAUGUUAAAGGCAGCUAGAGAGAAAGGCCAGGUCACCUCUAAAAAGAAGCUCAUCAGGAAAACAACAAAUCUUUCAGCUGAAAUCCUACAAGUCAAAAGAGAUUAUAGGGGCCAAUAUUCAACAUUCUUAAAAAAAGAAUUCCAACACAGAAUUUCAUAUCUGACCAAGGUAAGCUUCAGAAGUAAAAAAUAUAUAUGAUCCUAUUCAGACAAGCAAAUGCUGAGAAAAUGUUACCACAGGAUCUGUCUUAAAAGAGCUUCUGAAGAAAGCAUUAAAUAAGAAAAAGACUAUUACCAGUCACUACAAAAGCACACUAAAGUAUACAAACUGUGGACACUAUAAAGCAACCACAGAAACAAAUGUGCAAAAUAGCCAGCUAAGAUCCUAAUAACAGAAUCCAAUCCACACAUAUGAAUACUAACCUUAAAUGUAAA